rnacentral:rRNA from 1 species
CACGUAGGCGGAUUGGAAAGUUGGGGGUGAAAUCCCGGGGCUCAACCCCGGAACUGCCUUCAAAACUCCCAGUCUGGAGGUCGAGAGAGGUGAGUGGAAUUCCGAGUGUAGAGGUGAAAUUCGUAGAUAUUCGGAGGAACACCAGUGGCGAAGGCGGCCUACUGGGCACCAACUGACGCUGAGGCUCGAAAGUGUGGGUAGCAAACA